GAUGAACGCUAGCUACAGGCUUAACACAUGCAAGUCGAGGGGUAACGAGAGGAAAGCUUGCUUUCCUUGUCGACGACCGGCGCACGGGUGAGUAACGCGUAUCCAACCUGCCCCCAACUAGGGAAUAACCUUGCGAAAGUAAGACUAAUACCCUAUAAUUUCCUCAGAUGUCAUCUGACGAGGAAUAAAGAUUUAUCGGUUGUGGAUGGGGAUGCGUCUGAUUAGCUUGUUGGCGGGGUAACGGCCCACCAAGGCAACGAUCAGUAGGGGUUCUGAGAGGAAGGUCACCCACAUUGGAACUGAGACACGGUCCAAACUCCUACGGGAGGCAGCAGUGAGGAAUAUUGGUCAAUGGGCGGAAGCCUGAACCAGGCAAGUAGCGUGCAGGAUGACGGCCCUAUGGGUUGUAAACUGCUUUUAUACAGGAAUAAAGUUAGCCACGUGUGGUUAUUUGUAGGUACUGUAUGAAUAAGGACCGGCUAAUUCCGUGCCAGCCGCCGCAGUAA
rnacentral:rRNA from 1 species